rnacentral:lncRNA from 13 species
AUGCAGAUGCCAUUGGUGGAAGAAAUAGCUGCCUUUAGUCAGAGUGAAAGGACUUUGCCACCUCUAGCUUGGAGUUACAGCAGCACACUUGGACCCCAGGGCUUAGGUGUAAGGACGGAGGAGACAAACAGGCUCCUAUUCUCCUUCCAAGGAAAAUGCUUUAGGAAGGGGUGUUGCUGUGCUCCCUGUCCCGGGAGAGGAAAUUCUCCUCCAUUGCUGCCUAUGUAUCCUUCCCACAUGGCUCUUCUCUGCAAGAAUUUCAAGAACAGAUCUCCAGUGUACCAGACAAGCCAUUUUCCCUUGAUGUUACAACCCACACAGCUGCUGUACCAAGUCAUGUUUGGUGGUGGUAUUUACUUAGUGCUCUCUGAGGAUCUUCUGGUCUUUAUUCCUUUUGAUUACUCUUAGCAUCACUGAAGUUCAGCUGGUCCAAGAAUCCAAGAAACCCUGAUGGAUUUAAGAAGCUAGAACAUACAGCAAAGAUGAAUGAACUUUAUUUAAAACAGAACCAGCCAGUUCUUUUCCUCACUAAAGAAACAGACUGUGGCAGACAGCCAGGAUGUUUCUCUUCUGUAAAGAUCUCGCACCAGCCCUACCUUAGCUGGUUCCCCUCCUCUCCUUUUGUCAGUGUGAUGCAUCUGCAUUAGCAAGCUGUGCUUUUCAUUCCAAAGUGAUGAAAGGGGAAAACAAUAAAUUACAAUGCCUUUUAAGAAGUCUCCAAAUCUUAUCAGAUCUCACAUUUCAUCCUUGCUGCUCUUUUAUGUCAUUCUUUUACUAUUACUCUAAUUGCCACUCAAAAUUUAUUUUGCUGCUGCUGUGCACCCAGCACUUGCAGCUACUGUUGAGAAAUAGUAUGGAGGCAGAAAGCAGAGAUCCUCUCUCUCCCUUUUUGUAAAUUCCUAUUGCUUGUGAAAUUCCCAAACUCACAACCUCCCAAGUUUCUGAGAAGAGUGGCCCUCUACAUACUCGGAGGUAUUGUUACACUGUUAAAAAUGGAAAUUUGUUGCUGCUUCUUGUGGGGUGGAGGGGAAGGAAUUGAGAAAGGUGGCGGUUUCACCCCAGCUGUAUCAUGAUAGUUGAAUGCUGGGAGUAGAAAACAGUAUAACAAAUACCUGAAAAUGCAGCCACCUACCACUCUUUUAUAUAAAUUUGAGAUUACGAGCCAAACUCACUGUUGACAUAAGCAGAUGCAAAUCUAAUGAAGUCACUGCAGUUACUUCUACUUAUGCCAGAGGUGAAUUUGUCCCUAUUUUUGGAACAUGCUGGUUUUGUGCUACAGCAUUGGCACACUGUAUCAUGUCAAAAUCCUUUUGAGCAAUGGCAGUGUGCCACUGGCUGAGUAAUAUGAUGCAUCAUGUCAAACAUCUGCCUGAUAAUGGUCCUGAUCUGCUUUUUGACAUGAUGCAUCAUGCCACUGUACCAUGCCCGAAGGCAUCUGAUAGGAAUUCUGUCGGGAUCUGGGAAAAAGAAAUGUGUGCUAGUAUUGGAGAAUUCUGGAAUUUUGUGGAAAACAGUGAUCUCUGUGUUAGUGCAUUUAUAAAUCUCUUGCAAAUGCCUCAUGUACUUGGGUGAAAAAUGAUCACUAAUGUACUCCCACUUCAAUGUGUCACAUUAACAUAAUAAACGAUAAAUCAUUUUCUAUUUCGGUCUGUUCUGCUUUAAGGACCAAUACUGGAUUUUCUCCUAGAAAUGAUCAAUCGGCAUUGAAAGAAUUUGUUUCUAUUUGUGACUUUACAGGCUUGUUUUCUUACUGUUAUUAAGCGUAGGAGGCUUUUCUUUUGGGUUUUUCAGAUGUCGUUUUUUAUAAACCAACACCAGGCCUUGUUGUCAUUGCAUCUGAAAGCGUUUCACCUCAGAGAGAACGGCGCUAAACAACACCUCCCCUAAACCAGGAAACAUGUUUCACAAUCCUCUGCGGCAAGCGGCACAAGCUUCCCGGGGAGGAUCUGCGAGGGUGGAUAGCAGCCAGUCGUCCAGAGGCGAGGAGGCCGGGAGCCAGGAGACAGGGCGGCCAGAGGAAUGCCUGGAGGCAGCCUGGCCAUGUGCUUGCGGUGAAACCCUCCAGGUCAGGAGCAGGCUCGUGGCCAGGAACAGCGAACUUCAGAAGGUGGUGCUUGGUGUUGCCAGCCUGCGGCCUCCGGCUCCUGUAAGCGCCGCUGGCGGGUGGUGUCCUGCCUUAGGCUUGCUGCAGUAGGUAAUGAGGGGAAAGAGGUUUCUCAAAUUAAUAGGGCCCAGAUCGAGCAGAGAUUUGUAGAUAGCAAUCAGCACUUGGAUUUUCUGUUUUGACAAAGAAACCGGUCAGGAGCCCACGCAUUUGGUAUAUGCAAGUGCGUUGUACCCUUGCAGAAGCUUCGGAGUGACUGCAAAGGUGAGUGCUUCAGCUGGAAAUCCAUUGACACAGAUAUCCAAAAUACAACAGGAACAGGUUAUCAGAGUGCUACUUAAAAAGUAUAUAGCUACCUUAAAAUCUGUAUGCACAAAACAAAACAAAAAAAAGAAACUAAAGAUGUCUGCAGGAAAUUGGAUCUUUGUUCAAAGUACUGGAUUGAAUGUUUUGGACAAACGCUUUCUACAAACACGGAAUCCUACUGGGGUCAGACAGAGCUAUUUUAACCUUGUGUAUUCAUCUAACUGUUCUGGCCAAGGAGAUGUGUGUGUGUGAUUGUGUGUGUAUAUAUAUACAAAGAGAGGGAGAGAGUAUAAAUUUAGAAUUUUUGAUUGAAGGCUUCAAUUCCUGGCUGCUAUUAAAUGUAGGUAAACUUCAAAACAAAUUUUGUGAAAAAAACCCCAAAAAAACAAAACCAAAAAACUUCAAAUAAUUCACUUUAGACCUGAUGAGAAGAAUAAAAGAGCAAACACGUGUAAGUCCUUCCCAGGCUCAUAAGCUGGGAUAAUGCUAACAAGGCAUAAUCUUUUCCAUGUGAGGAAUGGUAUCGAAAGCUUCCAAGCGUGGCACUGCAGUAGGGCAGCUCGCUGGCAGAAGUGUGGACACAGAGGAAGACCAGGAAUAUAUCUGAGUACAAAUAAAGUCAUUACAACCACAUCCUAGUUUUCCAUAUAUUUUUUCAAGUAGAGAAGUGCACUUAAUUUUUUUUUUUUUAAAAAACAUUUUGGACCAAAUGGGGGGAGGGAAGAGACAUUCCGGGCCAGUUCAACCUGCAUCCAACGUGCAUCCAUCCUCCUAUGGAACACGUAGGUUCCUCCUUCCUCCCAGAUGAAUUUCCAGGAUAAAUCCCUGGGGAGCUGAUACAGGUGACACCUAUCCAGGGAGCCCUCGCUGCUUAGGCUGGGCUGAGCUCCUCACGGACCGCAAAGCGGCACCGGGGCGCUUCCCGCUCGCAGCCGGGAGCGAGGGGGGCCCCGCUCCGAGAGCCAAUAAAUGUUAUCCGCGGGGCGCUCGGAGCGGCGGGCGGGGCCGGGCAGGUGCUGCGCGCCCGCGGACCGGGCGGGCGGGGCGCGGUGCCGUCCCCGCCCUCCCGGCGCUGCCGCUGCCGCCGCGGCCGCCGGGGCGCCCCGCGCAGCCCCGCCGCGCUAUAAGUGCGGGCGCGGGGCGCGCCGGCCGCCGAAGAUGCGCUGGCAGCCGGGGCUGCGCGGCGCCUGGCCGCGGCCGCCCCGCGCCGGGGAGCGGGAGCAGCAGAAGGAGGAAGAAGAGGAAGGGGGAGACGGCGGU